AGUCCUUAUCACAGUAAGUAUCACGAGGAUAAGACAGAUUACCAGUACAACAAAACCAUUAUUUUGAGUGACACAAUGGAGCGUCCCGAAGACCAAUGCUCACAACAACAGGGCAAUCUGAUUCUGGAACAGGAAGAAGAACAGCAGUCCUACAGUGGAGAGCCCUCCAUACAACCAGAAUGUUCCUGCAAUGGAGCAGCCCUUCCACCUGGGCCUGAAUUGCUCACUCUCUCACUAACUACUGGCCUGGCGCUCAUUAUACCAGAGAUACAUGUUUCACACCGGUUGUGAUUGAUGAUCCCGGCUCCAGUGUACAUGAGAAUGUGUUGUCUUCUUCGUUUUUCUCUUUUCCUUUUCUUUUUUUUUUCUUUUUUGUCAAGCGACUGGUUUGUCUGACUCUCUGCUGAACACUGCUUCGAAUUCCUCCGCACAACACAAGCUCAUUACUAUAGCCAUUAUAUCAAUACAAAGGGAUUGAAAUGCGAACAGUCUACUAAUUUGUACUACCUGUAUACAGGGUGUUUUCUAUUCAAUACAGACUGUUACUAUAAUGAGAGCUAUGGAGGAGGACAUAUCCUGUUUUUGCAGGUGGGUUAUACGGGCAGGCGGACAUUCUGUCGAAGACAGUAUGUACCGUCUUGAUUACCAAUUUCCUAAAAUUCAUUAUUUCACUUUUUAAUUAGAGUUUUUGGGAGAAUGAGAGAUAGCACAAUAUGAACCAGCUAUAAUUUAUAGCCUGAAAUGAGCACAUACUUUGAGAUAAGCAUCACUAAAUAUUACUAUGCAAGUGAACCCAAACCAAAACAAGCUGGUCGCGAGCGCAGCAAGGACAAAGCCCAUUUCACUUCGGAGUAUCACUUGCUUUGAUGUAACAGAGCUGAUUGGAGUAGCACUGAUCUGCUGAGCAACCUUGCGGCCCAAUCUGCCAAAUAAAACAACGAUGCUGCGCA